GAUGAACGCUAGCGGCAGGCCUAAUACAUGCAAGUCGAGGGGUAGAGAAGAGCUUGCUUUUCUUGAGACCGGCGCACGGGUGCGUAACGCGUAUGCAACCUACCUUUAUCAGGGGGAUAGCCUCUCGAAAGAGAGAUUAACACCGCAUAAAAACACAGUACGGCAUCGUACAAUGUUCAAAUAUUUAUAGGAUAAAGAUGGGCAUGCGUGACAUUAGCUAGUUGGUGAGGUAAGGGCUCACCAAGGCGACGAUGUCUAGGGGAUCUGAGAGGAUGACCCCCCACACUGGUACUGAGACACGGACCAGACUCCUACGGGAGGCAGCAGUAAGGAAUAUUGGUCAAUGGGGGCAACCCUGAACCAGCCAUGCCGCGUGCAGGAAGACGGCCCUACGGGUUGUAAACUGCUUUUAUACGGGAAUAAACCCCUUUACGUGUAAAGGGUUGAAUGUACUGUAAGAAUAAGGAUCGGCUAACUCCGUGCCAGCCGCCGCCGUAA
rnacentral:rRNA from 1 species